UACGGAGGGGGCGAGCGUUAUUCGGAAUUAUUGGGCGUAAAGGGCGCGUAGGCGGCUGAGCAAGUCAAAGGUGAAAUCCCUCGGCUCAACUGAGGAACUGCCUUUGAAACUGUUCGGCUUGAGGCCGGGAGGGGGUAGCGGAAUUCCCAGUGUAGCGGUGAAAUGCGUAGAUAUUGGGAGGAACACCAGUGGCGAAGGCGGCUACCUGGACCGGUUCUGACGCUGAGGCGCGAAAGCGUGGGUAGCAAACAGG
rnacentral:rRNA from 1 species